rnacentral:rRNA from 1 species
GUGGGGAAUAUUGGGCAAUGGGCGAAAGCCUGACCCAGCAACGCCGCGUGAAGGAAGAAGGUUUUCGGAUUGUAAACUUCUGUCCUCAGGGAAGAAGGAAGUGACGGUACCUGAGGAGGAAGCCCCGGCUAACUACGUGCCAGCAGCCGCGGUAAUACGUAGGGGGCGAGCGUUGUCCGGAAUGACUGGGCGUAAAGGGCGCGUAGACGGCUGUCUAAGUCUGGAGUGAAAGUCCUGCUUUCAAGGUGGGAAUUGCUUUGGAGACUGGAUGGCUUGAGUGCGGAAGAGGUAAGUGGAAUUCCCAGUGUAGCGGUGAAAUGCGUAGAGAUUGGGAAGAACACCAGUGGCGAAGGCGACUUACUGGGCCGUAACUGACGUUGAUGCGCGAAAGCGUGGGGAGCGAACAGGAUUAGAUACCCUGGUAGUCC